UACAUAGGGUGCGAGCGUUAAUCGGAAUUACUGGGCGUAAAGAGUGCGUAGGCGGUUCUUGAAGUCCGCUGUGAAAGCCCCGGGCUUAACCUGGGAAUGGCAGUGGAAACUGGAGGACUUGAAUUGAGCAGAGGGGGGUGGAAUGCCGCGUGUAGCAGUGAAAUGCGUAGAGAUGCGGCGGAACACCGAUGGCGAAGGCAGCCCCCUGGGCUUAAAUUGACGCUGAGGCACGAAAGCGUGGGGAGCAAACAGG
rnacentral:rRNA from 1 species